rnacentral:rRNA from 1 species
ACGGGACCCCGCACAAGCGGUGGAUCAUGUUGUUUAAUUCGAUGAUACGCGAAGAACCUUUACCAGGUCUUGACAUCCCAUGCAAAGCUAUAGAGAUAUAGUGGAGGUUACCAUGGAGACAGGUGGUGCAUGGUUGUCGUCAGCUCGUGUCGUGAGAUGUUGGGUUAAGUCCCGCAACGAGCGCAACCCUUAUUGCUAGUUACCAUCAUUAAGUUGGGGACUCUAGCGAGACUGCCAGUGAUAAACUGGAGGAAGUGGGGAUGACGUCAAAUCAUCAUGCCCCUUAUGACCUGGGCUACAAACGUGAUACAAUGGCUGAAACAAAGGGCAGCGAAGCAGUGAUGUGAAGCGAAACCCAAAAAAGCAGUCUCAGUUCGGAUUGAAGUCUGCAACUCGACUUCAUGAAGUCGGAAUCGCUAGUAAUCGCGAAUCAGAACGUCGCGGUGAAUACGUUCUCGGGGUUU